GGAAAUUAUGUAGGAAAGAGGAAAGAACUACCAUUACUGCUACCACUAACCGGGCGAUAAAAGCGGACAAGGACACCAGUAUUCGAAAGAACUUAACGUUAUUACGACAAUGAGUAAUAUCUUAGUUGCUGGUUGGAUUCAAAACACUUGUCUAAUCUAUUAUUGAAGGCCAUAACUGUUGUACUAUCAACGACAUCACAGGGUAGAGAGUUCCAACCUUAACAACUCGAUUGAAGAAGAAGUGUUUAGCUUCGUGUGACGAGAAUCUUUUACCACUUAUCUUCAAAUUGUGAUUUCUUCUUGUUCUAUUUGAUCGAUCAACUGUAAAGUAAUCUUCCGCAUUAAAUGGUGAAGGUCAAUGAGUUUAAGUACCUUGGAUCAGUUAUGUGUAAGCAUGGUGGUACGGAGGGAGAGACAAGAGAAAGGGCAUUGCAAGGAAGAAGGGUGGUAGGGUCUUUGGGACGAAUCAUGAAUGGCAGAAGUGUGAGCAUGGAGGUAAAGAGGGAUUUGAGAGAUACAAUAAUAGUACCAACCCUCACAUAUGAAACGUGGGCCUGGAAUGAAAGUCUAGAGUGCAGGCAGUGGAAAUGAGUUAUUUGAGGAGUGCUUGUGGUGUGAGUAGAAUGGAUGGAAUGAGUAAUGAAAGUGUGUACAAACGUUUUGGAAUGUGUCACAGGGGUUAAGGGAAGAAGUGUGGAGUGGUGGAGGAAGUGAAGCGACAGACCUUAAAGUGGUUUGGCCACAUGGAGCGAAUGGAGGAGAGUAAGAUGACCAGAAGGGUGUAUGUGAGUGAGAUAGAGGGAGGGAAUGCUAGAGGACGACCUCCAGUGAAAUGGAGGGAUAGGGUGCAAGAGUACGUUAGGAAGAGGGGGGGAAUAUCUUUGAUAAACUUUGAGCAGGCAAGGAGGGAGUGUCUGGAUAGAGAAAGGUGGAAGCUCUUCUGCUGUCGCCAUCCCCUGCUGGGAGCUCCUAGGAGCAGGCGUCGAUGAAAUGAUGAUGAUGACUGAGAGGGGUAUUUUGAUGUGUCUUGAGAGCUUGGAUAACAGUGACUGAGGGAGAGAUUUCAGAAUCAAAUAAAUAUAUACCCAUUACUUUUUUUUUUAGUGUGUGUGUGUGUGUGUGUGUGUGUGUGUGUUGCAGUUAUUGCUGUAUAUAAGGUAAGUGUUGCAGCAGGCUUAUUGUAAUGGACUGUUUUUGUUGGUAUUUAUUUUUUCCCUUGAGCUGCUUCCUCUACUGUAAAAAAAGAAAAAUUGUGACAAACAGCAAUUAGAUACAAAACUCACCUGCUUACCGUACCUUUCUGCCUUUCCUCAGGGACCUGGACACACUGUUCUGCGGCACCAGCAGCAGCAGCCUGCACAUCCAUGGCCUGCAGGAGGAGGACGAGGGGACGUACAGGUGCCGGGCGGAGAACAGGGAGGACUCGCUCGACGCCGUGGCCCACAUACAGGUCCAAGUUGCUCCGAGGUUUCUGAGGCAGCCGGCCAACGCUCUCGCCUAUGAGAAGGAGAACGUGGAGCUGGAGUGCAGCGUGUACGGCCAGCCAGAGCCCUCGCUCCACUGGCUCAAGAACGGCGAGCUGCUGGUGGAGACGGAAAAC